rnacentral:misc_RNA from 1 species
UUCUUUGCCAUUAUCUGACCUCAAGAUCUUAAUUGUACAUCCACUUUGCUUUUCAACUAAGGCUUUGAAUUUUUUGAACACACUGAAUACUUGUGCUUUGCUCCUAAUGAAAUACACCCAAGUCAUUCUAGUUAAAUCAUCUAUAAACAAGAUGAAAUACUUAUUUUGACUCAGGGAGGGCACACUCAUAGGGCCACAAACAUCAGUGUGCACUAGCUCUAAUUUCUCUUUGGCUCUCCACAUUGAAUCACUUGGAAAAGAUUGCUUAUGAAGCUUACCAUACUGACAACUAUCACAAAUCUCACCACUGACACUUAUAGUAGGAAUAUCCCUCACCAUACUAUGAGUUUGCAUAAACUUCAGAGAAGCAAGAUUAAAAUGCCCAUAUCUCUUAUGCCACAACCAAGUUUCGUCAACCUUUGAACUAUAAACAUGCUGAUUCAAGCUUUCAGAUAUUAAUGGAAAACUAUUUUCAACCAUUUUAACCUUAGCAACUUCACAAUUUUCAGAAUCACGA